rnacentral:rRNA from 1 species
GGAUAAGCUACGAAGGGCGUACGGGGGAUGCCUAGGCGCCAGUUGCCGAAGAAGGACGUGGUACACUGCGAAAAGCUCCGGUGAGGGGUGUGCACCCGCAAGAGCCGGAGAUGUCCGAAUGGGGAAACCCGCGCGGGGGAAUGCCCGCGCAUCCUGGGGUGAACACAUAGCUUCAGGAGGGGAACCCGGGGAACUGAAACAUCUCAGUACCCGGAGGAGAAGAGAGAAUUCCCUGAGUAGUGGCGAGCGAAAGGGGAGGAGCCUAAACCCAGUGGCAAGCCACUGGGGGUUGGAGGGCAAGGCAGGACGCUGCGGAACCGAAGUCGAACGGUAUUGGGAAAGCCGGCCAGAGACGGUGAGAGCCCGGUAGACGGAAAGGGAAGCAGGGGGCCUUGACCCUGAGUACCACGGGGCACGCUAACCCUGUGGGAAGCUGGGGAGCCCACUCUCCAAGGCUAAAUACAACUGGUGACCGAUAGUGAACAAGUACCGUGAGGGAAAGGUGAAAAGAACCCCGGUGAGGGGAGUGAAAGAGAAUCUGAAACCGUAUGCCUACAAGCAGUCAGAGGCUCGGAAGAGCUGAUGGCGUGCCUCUUGGAGAAUGAGCCAGCGAGUUAAUCUCUGUGGCGAGGUUAAGGGAGAGACACCCGGAGCCGAAGCGAAAGCGAGUCUGAAGAGGGCGACGAGUCGCAGGGAUUAGACACGAAACCAGGUGAGCUAGCCAUGGCCAGGCUGAAGCGACGCUAACCCGUCGUGGAGGGCCGAACCUUUCAACGUUGCAAAGUUGAGGGAUGAGUUGUGGCUAGGGGUGAAAUGCCAAACGAACCUGGAGAUAGCUUGUUCUCCCCGAAAUAGCUUUAGGGCUAGCGUUGCGCUAGGCUGUGCGGGAGGUAAAGCACUGGAAGGGCUAGGGGCCGCAAGGUUACCAAACCCUACCAAACUCAGAAUGCCCGCACAGGGGCGCGGCAGUCGGACUACGGGAGAUGAGUUUCGUGGUCGAGAGGGAAACAGCCCAGACCUACAGCUAAGGUCCUCAAAUGCAGGCUCAGUGGCAAACGAGGUGGGAGUGUCCAGACAGCCAGGAGGUUGGCUUAGAAGCAGCCAUCCUUUAAAGAGUGCGUAAUAGCUCACUGGUCAAACGCUCCUGCGCGGAUAAUGUAACGGGGCUAAGCCUGCUACCGAAGCUUGGGGUGCCCGCAAGGGUGCAGUAGGGGAGCGUUCUGGGAGCGGAGAAGCCGGACUGGCAAGGUCUGGUGGAGCGACCAGAAGAGAGAAUGCUGGCAUGAGUAGCGAGAAACAUGUGAGAACCAUGUUCGCCGGAAGUCUAAGGGUUCCGACGGAAGGUCAGUCCGCGUCGGGUUAGUCGGGCCUAAGCCGAGGCCGGAGGGCGUAGGCGAUGGACAACAGGUGAAUAAUCCUGUACCACCUGGAGGGAGCGAAGGAGGGACGCCGUGGGGUAGCUCAGCCGCCGCAGUGGAUGGCGGUGCGAAGCGCGAUAGCCAGCGAAGGGGUAGGGAAAGCCGCCCUGGAGGCGAAGGCGUGAGUGCGGAGCCUAAGGGCCACAAGUGAGCGAGCCACGCGGCCAAGAAAAGCUUCUAAGCGACGAACUCUGGGUGCCCGUACCGCAAACCGACACAGGUAGACGGGUAGAGGAUACCAAGGCGAACGGGGGAACCCUCGUUAAGGAACUAGGCAAAAUGGCCCCGUAACUUCGGGAGAAGGGGCGCCCCCAAUGGGGGCCGCAGUGAAAGGGCUCUGCCGACUGUUUAACAAAAGCACAGGUCUCUGCAAACGCGCAAGCGGAGGUAUAGGGGCUGACGCCUGCCCAGUGCCGGAAGGUUAAGGGGACGGGUCAGCGGAGACGCGAAGCUCGGAACCGAAGCCCCGGUGAACGGCGGCCGUAACUAUAACGGUCCUAAGGUAGCGAAAUUCCUUGUCGGGUAAGUUCCGACCCGCACGAAUGGCGUAACGAGUGGAGCACUGUCUCAACGAGGGACCCGGCGAAAUUGAAAUACGUGUGAAGAUGCGCGUUACCCGCAGCAGGACAAAAAGACCCCGUGGAGCUUUACUACAACUUGCUAUGGCGUUAGGGCUUGGCUUGUGCAGGAUAGCUGGGAGGCGGAGAAGCUGGGACGUCAGUUUCGGUGGAGCCGAUGGUGAGAUACCAGCCUGGCGAAGUUUUGACCCUAACCGUUUGCCGUGAACCGGGGACGGGACAGUGGCAGGUGGGUAGUUUGACUGGGGCGGUCGCCUCCGAAAGGGUAACGGAGGCGCCCAAAGGUGCCCUCAGGGUGAAUGGAAACCACCCGCAGAGUGUAAAGGCAGAAGGGCGCUUGACUGCGAGGCCUACGAGCCGAGCAGAGACGAAAGUCGGGCUUAGUGAUCCCACGGUACCGAGUGGAAGGGCCGUGGCUUACCGGAUAAAAGCUACCCCGGGGAUAACAGGCUAGUCUGGUCCAAGAGUUCACAUCGACGACCAGGCUCGGCACCUCGAUGUCGGCUCAUCGCAUCCUGGGGCUGGAUCAGGUCCCAAGGGUCGGGCUGUUCGCCCGUUAAAGCGGUACGUGAGCUGGGUUCAGACCGUCGUGAGACAGGUCGGUCUCUAUCCGCUGUGGGCGCAAGGAGGUUGAGAGGCGCUGCCCCUAGUACGAGAGGACCGGGGUGGACGCAGCGCUGGUGUGCCGGUUGUCACGCCCGUGGCAUCGCCGGGUAGCCACCUGCGGAGCAGAGAACCGCUGAAAGCAUCUAAGCGGGAAACUGACCUCAAGAUGAGCCUCCUCACUGGAGAACCAGGUAAGACCGCUGGGAGACGACCAGCUAGAUAGGCCGGACGUGGAAGCGCAGCAAUGCGCGCAGCGAACCGGUACUAAGGGUCGAGGGCUUAUCCUC